rnacentral:rRNA from 1 species
AUGCCGCGUGAGUGAUGAAGGCCUUCGGGUUGUAAAGCUCUGUGGGGAGGGGAGAAAAAGCGCGUUCUAACAGGACGCGUGUUGACGGUACCUCCUUAGCAAGCACCGGCUAACUCUGUGCCAGCAGCCGCGGUAAGACAGAGGGUGCAAACGUUGCUCGGAAUCACUGGGCGUAAAGGGCGUGUAGGCGGGCAGGUAAGUCGGGCGUGAAAUCCCUGGGCUCAACCCAGGAACUGCACUCGAAACUACUUGCCUUGAGUGCCGGAGAGGAAAGCGGAAUACCUGGUGUAGAGGUGAAAUUCGUAGAUAUCAGGUGGAACACCAGUGGCGAAGGCGGCUUUCUGGACGGUAACUGACGCUGAGACGCGAAAGCGUGGGGAGCAAACAGGAUUAGAUACCCUGGUAGUCCACGCUGUAAACGAUGAGUGCUAGGUGUCGUGGGUAUUGACCCCCGCGGUGCCGUAGCUAACGCAUUAAGCACUCCGCCUGGGAAGUACGGUCGCAAGACUA